rnacentral:rRNA from 1 species
GUUGUAUGGUUAAGUGACUAAGCGUACACGGUGGAUGCCUUGGCAGUCAGAGGCGAUGAAAGACGUAGUAACUUGCGAUAAGCCCAGAUUAGGUAGUAACAACCAUUUGAGUCUGGGAUUUCUGAAUAAGGAGGCGAACCGGGGGAACUGAAACAUCUAAGUACCCCGAGGAAAAGAAAUCAACCGAGAUUCCGAAAGUAGCGGCGAGCGAAAUUGGACUAGCCCUUAAGCUUUACACGCGUUAGACGAACGGUCUGGAAAGUCCGACGAUACAGGGUGAUAGUCCCGUAGUUGACGACGUGUGUUCAGUGAAAUCGAGUAGGGCGGGACACGUGAUAUCCUGUCUGAAUAUGGGGGGACCAUCCUCCAAGGCUAAAUACUACUGACUGACCGAUAGUGAACCAGUACCGUGAGGGAAAGGCGAAAAGAACCCCUGUGAGGGGAGUGAAAUAGAACCUGAAACCGUGUACGUACAAGCAGUAGGAGCAGGCUUGUCCUGUGACUGCGUACCUUUUGUAUAAUGGGUCAGCGACUUAUAUUCAGUGGCAAGGUUAACCAUCUAGGGGAGCCGUAGGGAAACCGAGUCUUAACUGGGCGUUCAGUCUCUGGAUAUAGACCCGAAACCAGGUGAUCUAGCCAUGGGCAGGUUGAAGGUUGAGUAACAUCAACUGGAGGACCGAACCGACUAAUGUUGAAAAAUUAGCGGAUGACUUGUGGCUAGGGGUGAAAGGCCAAUCAAACCUGGAGAUAGCUGGUUCUCCCCGAAAGCUAUUUAGGUAGCGCCUCGGACGAAUACUACUGGGGGUAGAGCACUGUUAAGGCUAGGGGGUCAUCCCGACUUACCAACCCUUUGCAAACUCCGAAUACCAGUAAGUACUAUCCGGGAGACACACGGCGGGUGCUAACGUCCGUCGUGGAGAGGGAAACAACCCAGACCGCCAGCUAAGGUCCCAAAUUACUACUAAGUGGGAAACGAUGUGGGAAGGCUCAGACAGCCAGGAUGUUGGCUUAGAAGCAGCCAUCAUUUAAAGAAAGCGUAAUAGCUCACUGGUCGAGUCGGCCUGCGCGGAAGAUGUAACGGGGCUAAGUAGUAAACCGAAGCUGCGGCAAURURCUUUUGYAYAUUGGGUAGGGGAGCGUUCUGUAAGCGGUUGAAGGUGUGUGGUAACGCAUGCUGGACGUAUCAGAAGUGCGAAUGCUGACAUGAGUAACGAUAAAGGGGGUGAAAAACCUCCUCGCCGGAAGACCAAGGGUUCCUGUCCAACGUUAAUCGGGGCAGGGUAAGUCGACCCCUAAGGCGAGGCCGAAAGGCGUAGUCGAUGGGAAACGGGUUAAUAUUCCCGUACUUCUUACAAUUGCGAUGGGGGGACGGAGAAGGCUAGGUGGGCCUGGCGACGGUUGUCCAGGUUCAAGUGCGUAGGCUUAAGAGUUAGGUAAAUCCGGCUCUUUUUAAGGCUGAGACACGACGUCGAGCUACUACGGUAGUGAAGUCAUUGAUGCCAUGCUUCCAGGAAAAGCCUCUAAGCUUCAGAUUGUAAGGAAUCGUACCCCAAACCGACACAGGUGGUCGGGUAGAGAAUACCAAGGCGCUUGAGAGAACUCGGGUGAAGGAACUAGGCAAAAUGGUACCGUAACUUCGGGAGAAGGUACGCUCUYGAYGGUGAAGUCCCUCGCGGAUGGAGCURWYGAGAGUCGCAGAUACCAGGUGGCUGCAACUGUUUAUUAAAAACACAGCACUGUGCAAAAUCGUAAGAUGACGUAUACGGUGUGACGCCUGCCCGGUGCCGGAAGGUUAAUUGAUGGGGUUAGACUUCGGUCGAAGCUCUUGAUCGAAGCCCCGGUAAACGGCGGCCGUAACUAUAACGGUCCUAAGGUAGCGAAAUUCCUUGUCGGGUAAGUUCCGACCUGCACGAAUGGCGUAAUGAUGGCCACGCUGUCUCCACCCGAGACUCAGUGAAAUUGAAAUCGCUGUGAAGAUGCAGUGUACCCGCGGCUAGACGGAAAGACCCCGUGAACCUUUACUACAGCUUGGCACUGAACAUUGACCCUACAUGUGUAGGAUAGGUGGGAGGCUUUGAAGCACGUACGCCAGUAUGUGUGGAGCCGUCCUUGAAAUACCACCCUUGUAGUGUUGAUGUUCUAACGUCGACCCCUUAUCGGGGUUGCGGACAGUGCCUGGUGGGUAGUUUGACUGGGGCGGUCUCCUCCCAAAGAGUAACGGAGGAGCACGAAGGUGGGCUAAUCACGGUUGGACAUCGUGAGGUUAGUGCAAUGGCAUAAGCCCGCUUGACUGCGAGAAUGACAAUUCGAGCAGGUGCGAAAGCAGGUCAUAGUGAUCCGGUGGUUCUGAAUGGAAGGGCCAUCGCUCAACGGAUAAAAGGUACUCCGGGGAUAACAGGCUGAUACCGCCCAAGAGUUCAUAUCGACGGCGGUGUUUGGCACCUCGAUGUCGGCUCAUCACAUCCUGGGGCUGAAGUCGGUCCCAAGGGUAUGGCUGUUCGCCAUUUAAAGUGGUACGCGAGCUGGGUUUAGAACGUCGUGAGACAGUUCGGUCCCUAUCUGCCGUGGGCGUUGGAAGAUUGAAGGGGGCUGCUCCUAGUACGAGAGGACCGGAGUGGACGAACCUCUGGUGUUCGGGUUGUGUCGCCAGACGCAUUGCCCGGUAGCUAAGUUCGGAAUCGAUAACCGCUGAAAGCAUCUAAGCGGGAAGCGAGCCCUGAGAUGAGUCUUCCCUGAUACUUUAAGUAUCCUAAAGGGUUGUCGGAGACUACGACGUUGAUAGGUCAGGUGUGUAAGUGCUGUGAGGCAUUGAGCUAACUGAUACUAAUUGCCCGUGAGGCUUAACCAUACAACACCCAAGGGGUUU